AUUCGUUUUCUUAUUUUAACUUAUUGUUAAAAAAUAUAUUUUUUCAUUAUUUUAUUUUAUGGUUAUUUUCAAGAGAAGGCAGAGACACCAACAAAAAGCUUUGAAGUUAAUAAUAGUGAAGAGGAGGCAGAUAAUUAUAAAAAUCUUUGCAUCUAAAGACAGUGAAGAAUCGAGUCAAAGUACUGUAGCCAGCUGGGCUACGCUCACUGGAUGAAUUGCAAAUUAAAACUGAUUUAAUACAAAGACGGCAUAAGUUUGCUGAAAGUUAUACAAAUGGAGAAGUAUUGGUGCGUUUCUUUCCACAUGUAGAAGUUAAUGCAUAUAGAAAGAGAGAUAAAGGAGGUCAGAAAAGUUGGCAGAAUAGUUUGUGUCGCAUUUGUGGAAGCGAAAUUGGUCAAAAAACUAGAAAAAAUCAAAAAAAAGUUAAAUGGAUCAAAUGUGAUAUUUGCAUCCAAAUUGAUGGUACCGUAUAAGAUGCAUUGUUUUUAAAAAUGAAACUUUAUUUUGUUGUGAACAUAUUUAUAUAUAAAUGUAAUAAUAAAUAAAACUUUAAAAAUUGC